UACGAAGGGGGCGAGCGUUGUUCGGAUUUACUGGGCGUAAAGGGCGCGCAGGCGGCUCAUUUUGUCAGGCGUGAAAGCCCCGGGCUUAACCUGGGAACUGCGUUUGAUACGGAUGGGCUAGAGUUCGGGAGAGGAGAGUGGAAUUCCCAGUGUAGAGGUGAAAUUCGUAGAUAUUGGGAAGAACACCGGUGGCGAAGGCGGCUAUCUGGCCCGUAAUUGACGCUGAGGCGCGAAAGCGUGGGGAGCAAACAGG
rnacentral:rRNA from 1 species